rnacentral:rRNA from 1 species
UAUACCUACGGGAGGCAGCAGUGGGGAAUAUUGCACAAUGGGGGAAACCCUGAUGCAGCAACGCCGCGUGAGUGAAGAAGGUUUUCGGAUUGUAAAGCUCUGUUAGCAGGGAAGAGGAAGGACGGUACUUGCAGAGGAAGCCACGGCUAACUACGUGCCAGCAGCCGCGGUAAUACGUAGGGGGCAAGCGUUGUUCGGAAUAACUGGGCGUAAAGGAUGCGUAGGCGGAUAAACAAGGUAUAUGGUAA